GUGCCAGCAGCCGCGGUAAUACGUAGGGUACAAGCGUUGUCCGGAAUUAUUGGGCGUAAAGAGCUCGUAGGCGGUUCGUCGCGUCUGCUGUGGAAACGCAAGGCUCAACCUUGCGCGUGCAGUGGGUACGGGCGGACUAGAGUGCAGUAGGGGAGUCUGGAAUUCCUGGUGUAGCGGUGAAAUGCGCAGAUAUCAGGAGGAACACCGGUGGCGAAGGCGGGACUCUGGGCUGUAACUGACGCUGAGGAGCGAGAGGGUGGGGAGCGAACAGGCUUAGAUACCCUGGUAGUCCACCCCGUAAACGUUGGGAACUAGUUGUGGGGGCCUUUCCACGGUCUCCGUGACGCAGCUAACGCAUUAAGUUCCCCGCCUGGGGAGUACGGCCGCAAGGCUAAAACUCAAAGGAAUUGACGGGGACCCGCACAAGCGGCGGAGCAUGCGGAUUAAUUCGAUGCAACGCGAAGAACCUUACCAAGGCUUGACAUAUACCGGAAAAGGCUGGAAACAGUCUCCCCCUUGUGGUCGGUAUACAGGUGGUGCAUGGUUGUCGUCAGCUCGUGUCGUGAGAUGUUGGGUUAAGUCCCGCAACGAGCGCAACCCUCGUUCUAUGUUGCCAGCACGUUAUGGUGGGAACUCAUGGGAUACUGCCGGGGUCAACUCGGAGGAAGGUGGGGAUGACGUCAAAUCAUCAUGCCCCUUAUGUCUUGGGCUUCACGCAUGCUACAAUGGCCGGUACAAAGGGCUGCGAUACCGUAAGGUGGAGCGAAUCCCAAAAAGCCGGUCCCAGUUCGGAUUGAGGUCUGCAACUCGACCCCAUGAAGUCGGAGUCGCUAGUAAUCGCAGAUCAGCAACGCUGCGGUGAAUACGUUCCCGGGUCUUGUACACACCGCCCGU
rnacentral:rRNA from 1 species